rnacentral:tRNA from 3 species
GGUGCGGUGCCAGAGUGGUUAAUGGGUAUGACUCGAAAUCAUAUGUCUUCGGACGCAGGAGUUCGAAUCUCCUCCGCAUCG